UACGGAGGUGGCAAGCGUUGUUCGGAAUUACUGGGCGUAAAGGGCGCGUAGGCGGCAUGGCAAGUCAGAUGUGAAAGCCCUGGGCUUAACUCAGGAAUUGCAUCUGAAACUGCUUUGCUUGAGUCCUGGAGGGGGUAGUGGAAUUCCCAGUGUAGCGGUGAAAUGCGUAGAUAUUGGGAGGAACACCUGUGGCGAAGGCGGCUACCUGGACAGUGACUGACGCUGAUGCGCGAAAGCUAGGGGAGCAAACGGG
rnacentral:rRNA from 1 species